GCUCCGACUCCGAAGUUCGAUGCGUCACACUGAAUGUAGAAGGGCUUUUUAAAAUCGGCAUGCACCAAAACGGGUACCGUGAGCAUUUGUCAGUGGUACCGAGAUCUCUGCGAAGUUCUUAAUGAAUCUCCGAUACCAACCAGCCGUACCCAAGAAGCUACGCAGUUCCUUGACCGUUCUUGGAGCAGGGAUGUUAUUGAUGGCCUCCACUCUGCUCGGGUCCAUCCUUAAAGUGCCUCCACCUAUGAUGAAACCUAAAUAGUUGUGGUUCCUAAAGGAGAAUUUGGAUUUGGCCAUGCCAAUGGUGCGUGUCGAAAUCUGCCGAGAUGAUUAGCAAAUCGUCCAAGUACACGAAUACGUUGGACCUCAGAGACGUCGGGAUUACUUUGUCCAUGAGUUGGCAAAGUUGCUGUGCUGCAUUGCAUAACCCGAUGUGGCGAUGUGGCAUGUGACGAAAUUGGUACAGCGGUCGUCCCGGAACUGUGAAAGCUGUAUAGGCCCUACUGCUUUCCUCCAGCUCGAUUUGCCAGAAGGCAAACUUCAAAUCAACACUUGAGAUGAAGUGCGUCUCGUCGAUCCGCGAGAGAAUACCUUCGAUGCAUGGAAGGGUGUACGCAUCUUUCACCGUUACGCUAUUCAGCUUCCGAGCAUCUAAGCAAAAUCGAUUUUUGCCGGGCUUCAUGACGACCGUCGUCCUAUUGCUCCAUGGACUGUUGCUCUCUUCAAUGAUGCCCAACUGAAGCAUGUGAGGUAGUUGUCUAAUGACAAUUAGAGUUUCAAAAACAAAAAAACAAAACAUCUGAUUGUCACAAAAUCAAAACAUCAGCUGAUGUGCCAAAGCCUUAAUUAAGUUGGCAACUCUACUUAGCAUAGCUCAACUGUUGAGUCUAUCGAACGGGGAGAAUUGCAUUGAUCCACACAGAGAUGCU